rnacentral:lncRNA from 1 species
GAUGGAGCUCUUGAUGCCUCUUUGAAUCUGCUCAAUCCCUUUCUUUGAUUCUUGAAUGAAGCUCUUGAUGAAGAAGAUUAGGGCACUUUUGUUUUCUUGUGUACUCUUUGAUAUUUCUUUCAAAAAUUGUUCUAUCUGAUGAAUAGUGCCCCUUUAAAUAGCUUCCCACAUCCUUUGGACAAGCCCCAAUGGUUAGAUUUGAAAAACUAGCCGUUAUUGACCUUGGGAAGGACAAAAAGUACAUCUGCAGAACUAGCCGUUAUGCUUCAGCCCGUGUUUGGGUCGGCUCAACCUGUCCUUGGGUCGACCCAACAUUCACUUGGGUCGACUCAAAUAUUCCUUGGGUCGACCCUCUCAGAAAACACAGAAA